rnacentral:rRNA from 1 species
UACGUAGGGGGCAAGCGUUGUCCGGAAUCAUUGGGCGUAAAGAGCGUGUAGGCGGCCCGGUAAGUCCGCUGUGAAAGUCGGGGGCUCAACCCUCGAAUGCCGGUGGAUACUGUCGGGCUAGAGUACGGAAGAGGCGAGUGGAAUUCCUGGUGUAGCGGUGAAAUGCGCAGAUAUCAGGAGGAACACCCAUUGCGAAGGCAGCUCGCUGGGACGUUACUGACGCUGAGACGCGAAAGCGUGGGGAGCAAACAGG